AUUGAACGCUGGCGGCAUGCCUUACACAUGCAAGUCGAACGGUAACGCGGGGCAACCUGGCGACGAAUGGCGAACGGGUGAGUAAUGCAUCGGAACGUGCCCAGGUGUGGGGGAUAACUGCUCGAAAGAGCAGCUAAUACCGCAUACGACCUGAGGGUGAAAGCGGGGGAUCGCAAGACCUCGCGCAAUUGGAGCGGCCGAUGUCGGAUUAGCUAGUUGGUGGGGUAAAGGCACACCAAGGCGACGAUCCGUAGCUGGUCUGAGAGGACGACCAGCCACACUGGGACUGAGACACGGCCCAGACUCCUACGGGAGGCAGCAGUGGGGAAUUUUGGACAAUGGACGCAAGUCUGAUCCAGCCAUGCCGCGUGCGGGAAGAAGGCCUUCGGGUUGUAAACCGCUUUUGUCAGGGAAGAAACGCUCUGGGUUAAUACCUCGGGGUAAUGACGGUACCUGAAGAAUAAGCACCGGCUAACUACGUGCCAGCAGCCGCAGUAACAC
rnacentral:rRNA from 1 species